UCUGUGUCAUAUAUGAGUCAGUAGGUGGCAGAAAGGAGAGGGGCUAUGUCCCCUCAAUGUUCUGACCUAUGAACACCAGAAUGAUUAGUAGCCUAAUAGU
rnacentral:snoRNA from 14 species